CUACGGGUCGCUGCAGUGAGAAAUAUUGCACAAUGGGGGGAACCCUGAUGCAGCAACGCCGCGUGGAGGAUGACGCAUUUCGGUGUGUAAACUCCUUUUAUAUGUCAAGAAAAUGACGGUAGCAUAUGAAUAAGCACCGGCUAACUCCGUGCCAGCAGCCGCGGUAAUACGGAGGGUGCAAGCGUUACUCGGAAUCACUGGGCGUAAAGGACGCGUAGGCGGGUUGGAAAGUCAGGUGUGAAAUCCUACAGCUUAACUGUAGAACUGCACUUGGAACUUCUAAUCUAGAGUAUGGGAGGGGGAGAUGGAAUUAGUGGUGUAGGGGUAAAAUCCGUAGAUAUCACUAGGAAUACCUAAAGCGAAGGCGAUCUCCUGGAACAUUACUGACGCUAAGGCGUGAAAGCGUGGGGAGCAAACAGGAUUAGAUACCCGAGUAGUC
rnacentral:rRNA from 1 species